UACGAAGGGUGCAAGCGUUACUCGGAAUUACUGGGCGUAAAGCGUGCGUAGGCGGUUUGUUAAGUCCGCUGUGAAAGCCCUGGGCUCAACCUGGGAAUUGCAGUGGAUACUGGCAAGCUAGAGUGCGGUAGAGGAUGGUGGAAUUCCCGGUGUAGCGGUGAAAUGCGUAGAGAUCGGGAGGAACACCCGUGGCGAAGGCGGCCAUCUGGACCAGCACUGA
rnacentral:rRNA from 1 species